GAAGAAAAAGGAGGAGGCAGAGGAGAAGAAGGAGAAGGAGAAGAAGAAGAAAGAAGAAGAAGAAGAAGAAGAAGAAGAAGAAGAAGAAGAAGAAGAAGAAGAAGAAGAAGAAGAGCUCAAUAGCCAAAUGGCUCAGCAGGUGCUGUGUUCCUGAAAUAUCCAGCUGAGUGGCCCAAAGUGGCAAGAAGAAGAAGAAGAAGAAGAAGAAGAAGAAGAAGAAGAAGAAGAAGAAGAAGAAGAAGAAGAAGAAGAGCUCAAUAGCCAAAUGGCUCAGCAGCAAAGAAUUCUUCCAGCAAAGAAUGUUCUUGAGCCUGAAAUUAAGGUGGGAACCUCCCUUGACUCGCUGGUUGGGGCUCAACUUGCCCAAACAUAUUUCACAACUGGUUUCUGAACAGGAAGUGGCCCAGAUUUGCAAAUCACCAUGUAUACCAGCUGCACAGUCCUGCUGUGGGUUUUGUUUCUCUCAGGAAACAGAUGUGUCACCCAUCAGCACCAACCCCUUUCUUUUGUUCUCAAAGAUCAAAAGAGUACAGCUUCCUGGCCUCUCCUGCCCUGGCCAUAGGCUCAUGCCAUGCCAUCAUGGGCAGGGACCUCAGAUUAACACUCUGACCUCUGCAACCUUUGCUGAUCUCAAAAAAGCUACAAUAGUCAGAUUUGAUUCUGUGACUCCAGUGUUGAUUCAUUGGUUGUUUGGUGACCCUGCUACCCCUACUGAAGCCCUUCACUAGGAAGCAUGUGGCUUCCUCUUAUUUAUUUAAUUUAG
rnacentral:lncRNA from 1 species